GACGAACGCUGGCGGCGUGCUUAACACAUGCAAGUCGAACGGAAAGGCCUCUUUCGGGGGGUACUCGAGUGGCGAACGGGUGAGUAACACGUGAGUAACCUGCCCUUGACUCUGGGAUAAAUUCAGGAAACUGGGGCUAAUACCGGAUAUGAGCUCCUGCUGCAUGGUGGGGGUUGGAAAGUUUCGGGGGUUGGGGGUGGGCUCGCGGCGUAUCAGCUUUUUGGUGGGGUAGUGGCUUACCAAGGCUUUUUCGGGUGUCCGGGCUGAGAGGGGGACCGGCCACAUUGGGACUGAGAUUAGGCCCAGACUCCUACGGGAGGCAACAGUUGGGGAUAUUGCACCAUUGGUGGAAGCCUGAAUCAGCAAAGCCGUGUGCGGGGUGACGGCCUUCGGGUUGGAAACCGCUUUCGCUCAUGACGAAGCUUUGUGUGACGGUAGUGGGUAAAGAAGCACCGGCUAACUACGUG
rnacentral:rRNA from 1 species